rnacentral:lncRNA from 1 species
CUUGGCAAAGAGCUCUCUGUCAUGCUUCUGCACAGGACAGUGAAAGCUCUGACCAGGCUAAACUAGUGUGAGAUGGCAAGGCCAUGACCUUAUUAGAAAAGCCUCUCUCUGAAGUCUCAAACGACCCUAAUACCAACGUUGAAUUUGCCUGAGCCUGUCCUUUCUGAUUUCCCCCAACACAUUACACAGGAGCUCUCUGUCAAAUUUGGUGCUGCCGAUAAUGAGCUAGUCUCUCAGACUUUUGUAUUAAACGCAAGUUCUCCAGGAAACUUUUGAAAGUGCACAGGAAAAAUACAGAGAAAAUUGAAGACUAAAGGGAGUAUGUUUCUGUUCUACAGCAAUACAUUUACCAUGCAAAGCAAUGUGUUUAUCUAUACUUAUGCUUUUUGCUUCUAUUCUAUAUUAACCUCAUCUGAUUUAUGCUAAUUUUUGCCCAAGAUGACAACAGAAGCAGAGAGUUAUAGUCACACAGAGUAUUUCCUUUACUAUUACUCCACCUGCUGGAAUUGCCCUUCACUGACCACAGAUUCCUAGGACUGAGAUUUGAAAAAUGUGAAGAGAAAAGGAAUUAGAAUUAUUUACA